rfam:Thalassomonas actiniarum strain A5K-106 contig_79, whole genome shotgun sequence.
CGAGUUGGCCAGACAAUCGCUGCUUUAUCCUUUACUUUCGGGUAGGGAGAUAGAGGGGAGGAAAGUCCGGGCUCCAACGAGCAGGGUGCCAGGUAACGCCUGGGGGGCGCAAGCCCACGACAAGUGCAGCAGAGAGAAGACCGCCGAUGGCUGGCAACAGCACAGGUAAGGGUGAAAGGGUGCGGUAAGAGCGCACCGGGCGGCUGGUAACAGUUCGCAGCAGGGUAAACUCCACCCGGAGCAAGACCAAAUAGGGUUUCAUAUGGCGUGGCUCGCGUUGAAACCGGGUAGGUUGCUUGAGCCUUAGAGCGAUUUAAGGCCUAGACGAAUGAUUGUCCACGACAAAACCCGGCUUAUCGGCCAACUCAAAUG